UACGUAGGGUCCGAGCGUUGUCCGGAAUUAUUGGGCGUAAAGGGCUCGUAGGCGGUUUGUCGCGUCGGGAGUGAAAACGCCGGGCUUAACCCGGUGCUUGCUUUCGAUACGGGCAGACUGGAGGUAUGCAGGGGAGAACGGGAUUCCUGGUGUAGCGGUGAAAUGCGCAGAUAUCAGGAGGAACACCGGUGGCGAAGGCGGUUCUCUGGGCAUGACCUGACGCUGAGGAGCGAAAGUGUGGGGAGCGAACAGG
rnacentral:rRNA from 1 species